UACGUAGGGUGCGAGCGUUAAUCGGAAUUACUGGGCGUAAAGCGUGCGCAGGCGGUUUUGUAAGCCAGAUGUGAAAUCCCCGGGCUCAACCUGGGAAUGGCAUUUGGGACUGCAAGGCUUGAGUCCGGGAGGGGAGAGCGGAAUUCCUAGUGUAGCGGUGAAAUGCGCAGAUAUUAGGAAGAACACCGGUGGCGAAGGCGGCUCUCUGGAACGGUACUGACGCUGAGACGCGAAAGCGUGGGGAGCAAACAGG
rnacentral:rRNA from 1 species